AAUCCGACCAUCUUCAAGCUCCACCUUCACCUUCUCAAUGCAAAGGAGGCACACAAGUGCUCCAAUUAAUCGCUGCACACCUAGCCGACAAAAACCCAAUCUACCACCGACUACUCCAAUUGACGUCACUCCAUCAUCCGUCGUCGACCAAAACACUAAAAGCAGAACAUAUGAACUAGAUGCUUUGUGCAGCGUAGUGCCAUCGUCGCUGCUACAGCGACGUCAUCCCAACUGCUGU
rnacentral:lncRNA from 1 species